AGGGGUGUAGUUAACCAUAACAUUUGGGUGAUCCAAAAAGAUUGAAUAUAUCAAUUACCCUUA
rnacentral:tRNA from 1 species